rnacentral:rRNA from 1 species
AGUGAACGCUGGCGGUAGGCCUAACACAUGCAAGUCGAACGGCAGCACAGUAAGAGCUUGCUCUUACGGGUGGCGAGUGGCGGACGGGUGAGGAAUACAUCGGAAUCUACUUUUUCGUGGGGGAUAACGUAGGGAAACUUACGCUAAUACCGCAUACGACCUACGGGUGAAAGCAGGGGAUCUUCGGACCUUGCGCGAUUGAAUGAGCCGAUAUCGGAUUAGCUAGUUGGCGGGGUAAAGGCCCACCAAGGCGACGAUCCGUAGCUGGUCUGAGAGGAUGAUCAGCCACACUGGAACUGAGACACGGUCCAGACUCCUACGGGAGGCAGCAGUGGGGAAUAUUGGACAAUGGGCGCAAGCCUGAUCCAGCCAUACCGCGUGGGUGAAGAAGGCCUUCGGGUUGUAAAGCCCUUUUGUUGGGAAAGAAAAGCAGCAGGUUAAUACCCCGCUGUUCUGACGGUACCAAAAGAAUAAGCACCGGCUAACUUCGUG